AUCAAGCCAACCCUAAUUUCUAGGGGGUUUGUCCCAUCGCCGCCGCCCCUCCACCGAAUCCCUCUCGGAAUCCUCUCAUUCCCCCUGCACCAACCAUCAGCCACACCUAGAUCCAAUCCAACCAGCACACAGCCUCUCACUCCUCUCGUUCCCGAGAGAGAGGAGUUCCUCAGCCCCGAUCCAGCGCCUGAUCCCCGCCUCCUCGCGCCUCCCUGCAUCGCCGGCAGCAACAGCUACCGCUGAACCAGCAGCAAACGCCGUCGCCCUUCCGGGAGCCGACACCCAUGGAGCUUGCCGCUGCUUCGUCCAAGCCGCGUCCUCCAGCCGGAGCUCGCCAGCCGCAUCGAUCCGCCGUGAGCAGCAGCACCAGCAGAUGAGCUCCGCUCAUGUUCUCUCCUUCCUCCACCUCCUUAUGCCUCUCCCGUUUUUCUCUCCUCACACUACGGUCUGUGUCUCCCUUCUAAGCAGGAGCAGCCAGGGACGUCACUCCUCAAGCAUCAGCCGCCGCUGACCUCCUCCGUCACGUCUCAGCGCCGGACCUCCGCUUGGCCUUGUUCGUCCGCUGCCUCCUGAAGGCCAUGGAGCCUUGCAGCAGACGCCCGCCGUUGCCGCAGCUGCCCCGUCCACCUCGCCCUGCCGGAUUCCGACCGGCCGGAACUCCCUGCGCCUCAAGACCGACCCUGCGUCGUCCGCCAAGUGCCCCUGCAUCGCGCCAGACGCCGCCCUCCGCUGCUGCGUUGCCGCCGUCCAGCCAUGUCGCCGUCCCCCUGCGUCCUCUGCUGCGCGAAGGAGCGAGGAGAAUGCGCCCGUUGACCGCGCCCGUCCCUGCCUCGAUCCAGUGGGAUCGGCAGGGGCUAUCCAUCCAGCGCCCGAGUGGGCCGGCCUGCCAGCGCCCGAGGCCCAGAUGCGCCCCUGCCGGCCUCCCUCCUCCACCGAAUGGGCGGAGGCCCAUGGUGACGCAACCGAGCUCAAGGAGGAGCCAUUUGAAG